rnacentral:rRNA from 1 species
AUGAUUUCUCAAAAGAAUUUUAAUGCUUUGCUUGAAGAAAAAUUGCUCAAAGUUGAUGAUUUGGCUAGGAAAGUUGAUAGACUUUUGCUUGAUGUUGAUUCUCUUAAACUUAGAUCUUCUCCUCCUAAGCAUGAUAUCAAUGAGUCUCUCAAAGUAAUGAGAAUUUCCAUUUAUGAGUGCAAGGAAAGAACCGCUCGAUUGCGUGCUAAAAAAGAAAGCUUUAUAAAAGCGUGUUCUUCUAGUUUCCAUGAAAAUAGUGAUGAGGAUCUUAAAGUUAUUGAUGCGCCUCCAAUUAGAUCUAUGUUUUGCAAUAUGAAUUUUGAUGAUUAUGGGACUGAUGAUGAAUCAACUUUGCCUAGAAGGCGUCCCAAGAAUUCGGAGUCUUUAGAUCUUGAUGCUAAAUUUGGUAAAAGUAAGAUUGGAGAGUCCUCAACUUCUAAUAACAUUGAACCUACUAUCUCGGAUUUCAAGGAAUUUGAUUAUGAUAAUUGCUCUUUAAGAGGUUGUAUUUCCUUGUUGCAAUCCGUUGUUAAUUCUCCUCAUGCUUAUAGUCAAAAUAAAGCUUUUACCAAACAUAUCGUUGAUGCCUUGACGCAAUCUUAUGAUGAAAAACUUAAUUUGGAAGUUUCUAUACCUAGAAAACUUAAUGAUGAGUGGAAACCUAUUAUAAAGAUUAGAAUUAAAGAUUAUGAGUGUUUUGCUUUGUGUGAUUUGGGUGCUAGCAUUUCCACGAUUCCGAAAAACUUUAUGUGA